AUUGAACGCUGGCGGCAGGCCUAACACAUGCAAGUCGAGCGGAUGAAGGGAGCUUGCUCCUGGAUUCAGCGGCGGACGGGUGAGUAAUGCCUAUGAAUCUGCCUGGUAGUGGGGGAUAACGUCCGGAAACGGGCGCUAAUACCGCAUACGUCCUGAGGGAGAAAGUGGGGGAUCUUCGGACCUCACGCUAUCAGAUGAGCCUAGGUCGGAUUAGCUAGUUGGUGGGGUAAAGGCCUACCAAGGCGACGAUCCGUAACUGGUCUGAGAGGAUGAUCAGUCACACUGGAACUGAGACACGGUCCAGACGCCUACGGGAGGCAGCAGUGUGGAAUAGUGGACAAUGGGCGAAAGCCUGAUCCAGCCAUGCCGCGUGUGUGAAGAAGGUCUUCGGAUUGUAAAGCACUUUAAGUUGGGAGGAAGGGCAGUAAGUUAAUACCUUGCUGUUUUGACGUUACCAACAGAAUAAGCACCGGCUAACUUCGUG
rnacentral:rRNA from 1 species